rnacentral:rRNA from 1 species
UGGGGAAUCUUGCGCAAUGGGCGAAAGCCUGACGCAGCGACGCCGCGUGGGGGAAGAAGGCCUUCGGGUUGUAAACCUCUUUCAGCAGGGACGAAGCCACUCGGGUGAAUAGCCCAGAGGGUGACGGUACCUGCAGAAGAAGCCCCGGCUAACUACGUGCCAGCAGCCGCGGUAAUACGUAGGGGGCAAGCGUUGUCCGGAUUUAUUGGGCGUAAAGAGCGUGUAGGCGGCCAGACAGGUCCGUUGUGAAAACUAGAGGCUUAACCUCUAGACGUCGAUGGAAACCGUUUGGCUAGAGUCCGGAAGAGGAGAAUGGAAUUCCUGGUGUAGCGGUGAAAUGCGCAGAUAUCGGGAAGAACACCCGUGGCGAAGGCGGUUCUCUGGGACGGUACUGACGCUGAGACGCGAAAGCGUGGGGAGCGAACAGGAUUAGAUACCCUGGUAGUCCACGCCGUAAACGAUGGGUGCUAGGUGUGGGCGGUGUCGACUCCGUCCGUGCCGAAGCUAACGCAUUAAGCC